UACGUAGGUGACAAGCGUUGUCCGGAUUUACUGGGCGUAAAGAGCGCGCAGGCGGUCGAUCAAGUCGAGUGUGAAAGCCCCCGGCUCAACUGGGGAGGGUCAUUCGAUACUGAUCGACUCGAAGGCAGGAGAGGGUAGUGGAAUUCCCGGUGUAGUGGUGAAAUGCGUAGAUAUCGGGAGGAACACCAGUGGCGAAGGCGACUACCUGGCCUGUUCUUGACGCUGAGGCGCGAAAGCUAGGGGAGCAAACGGGG
rnacentral:rRNA from 1 species